rnacentral:rRNA from 1 species
AAAUUGAAGAGUUUGAUCAUGGCUCAGAUUGAACGCUGGCGGCAGGCCUAACACAUGCAAGUCGAACGGUAACAGGAAGCAGCUUGCUGCUUUGCUGACGAGUGGCGGACGGGUGAGUAAUGUCUGGGAAACUGCCUGAUGGAGGGGGAUAACUACUGGAAACGGUGGCUAAUACCGCAUAAUGUCGCAAGACCAAAGAGGGGGACCUUCGGGCCUCUUGCCAUCAGAUGUGCCCAGAUGGGAUUAGCUUGUUGGUGAGGUAACGGCUCACCAAGGCGACGAUCCCUAGCUGGUCUGAGAGGAUGACCAGCCACACUGGAACUGAGACACGGUCCAGACUCCUACGGGAGGCAGCAGUGGGGAAUAUUGCACAAUGGGCGCAAGCCUGAUGCAGCCAUGCCGCGUGUAUGAAGAAGGCCUUCGGGUUGUAAAGUACUUUCAGCGGGGAGGAAGGUGUUGUGGUUAAUAACCGCAGCAAUUGACGUUACCCGCAGAAGAAGCA